ensembl:snRNA U6 U6 spliceosomal RNA
GUGGUAGCUUCGGCAGCACAUAUACUAAAAUUGGAACAAUCAGAGAAGAUUAGCAUGGCCCUGCACAAGGAUGACAUGCAAAUUCGUGAAGCACUUCAUAUUUUU